AGUGAACGCUGGCGGUAGGCCUAACACAUGCAAGUCGAACGGCAGCACAGUAAGAGCCUGCUCUUACGGGUGGCGAGUGGCGGACGGGUGAGGAAUACAUCGGAAUCUACUUUUUCGUGGGGGAUAACGUAGGGAAACUUACGCUAAUACCGCAUACGACCUACGGGUGAAAGCAGGGGAUCUUCGGACCUUGCGCGAUUGAAUGAGCCGAUGUCGGAUUAGCUAGUUGGCGGGGUAAAGGCCCACCAAGGCGACGAUCCGUAGCUGGUCUGAGAGGAUGAUCAGCCAAACUGGAACUGAGCCACGGUCCAGACUCCUACGGGAGGCAGCAGUGGGGAAUUUUGGAAAAUGGGCGCAAGCCUGAUCCAGCCAUACCGCGUGGGUGAAGAAGGCCUUCGGGUUGUAAAGCCCUUUUGUUGGGAAAAAAAAGCAGCAGGUUAAUACCCCGCUGUUCUGACGGUACCCAAAGAAUAAGCACCGGCUAACUUCGU
rnacentral:rRNA from 1 species